rnacentral:rRNA from 1 species
GUGGGGAAUCUUGGACAAUGGGCGCAAGCCUGAUCCAGCCAUGCCGCGUGAGUGAAGAAGGCCUUAGGGUUGUAAAGCUCUUUUGGCAGGGACGAUAAUGACGGUACCUGCAGAAUAAGCCCCGGCAAACUUCGUGCCAGCAGCCGCGGUAAUACGAAGGGGGCUAGCGUUGUUCGGAAUUACUGGGCGUAAAGCGCACGUAGGCGGGUCGUUAAGUCAGGGGUGAAAUCCCGGAGCUCAACUCCGGAACUGCCUUUGAUACUGGCGAUCUAGAGAUCGAGAGAGGUGAGUGGAAUUCCGAGUGUAGAGGUGAAAUUCGUAGAUAUUCGGAAGAACACCAGUGGCGAAGGCGGCUCACUGGCUCGAUACUGACGCUGAGGUGCGAAAGCGUGGGGAGCAAACAGGAUUAGAAACCCCAGUAGUCC